rnacentral:rRNA from 1 species
UGAACCUCGCUUGNNGGGGGAUUAGUGGCGAACGGGUGAGUAACACGUGAGUAACCUGCCCUUAACUCUGGGAUAAGCCUGGGAAACUGGGUCUAAUACCGGAUAUGACUUCUCAUCGCAUGGUGGGGGGUGGAAAGCUUUUGUGGUUUUGGAUGGACUCGCGGCCUAUCAGCUUGUUGGUGGGGUAAUGGCCUACCAAGGCGACGACGGGUAGCCGGCCUGAGAGGGUGACCGGCCACACUGGGACUGAGACACGGCCCAGACUCCUACGGGAGGCAGCAGUGGGGAAUAUUGCACAAUGGGCGCAAGCCUGAUGCAGCGACGCCGCGUGAGGGAUGACGGCCUUCGGGUUGUAAACCUCUUUCAGUAGGGAAGAAGCGAAAGUGACGGUACCUGCAGAAGAAGCGCCGGCUAACUACGUGCCAGCAGCCGCGGUAAUACGUAGGGCGCAAGCGUUAUCCGGAAUUAUUGGGCGUAAAGAGCUCGUAGGCGGUUUGUCGCGUCUGCCGUGAAAGUCCGGGGCUCAACUCCGGAUCUGCGGUGGGUACGGGCAGACUAGAGUGAUGUAGGGGAGACUGGAAUUCCUGGUGUAGCGGUGAAAUGCGCAGAUAUCAGGAGGAACACCGAUGGCGAAGGCAGGUCUCUGGGCAUUAACUGACGCUGAGGAGCGAAAGCAUGGGGAGCGAACAGGAUUAGAUACCCUGGUAGUCCAUGCCGUAAACGUUGGGCACUAGGUGUGGGGGACAUUCCACGUUUUCCGCGCCGUAGCUAACGCAUUAAGUGCCCCGCCUGGGGAGUACGGCCGCAAGGCUAAAACUCAAAGGAAUUGACGGGGGCCCGCACAAGCGGCGGAGCAUGCGGAUUAAUUCGAUGCAACGCGAAGAACCUUACCAAGGCUUGACAUGGACCGGCACGCCGCAGAAAUGUGGUUUCCCCUUUGCGGUCGGUUUACAGGUGGUGCAUGGUUGUCGUCAGCUCGUGUCGUGANAUGUUGGGUUAAGUCCCGCAACGAGCGCAA